GCACUUGGGAUGCAAGAGAGAAAAAAGAGAGGACGAAGACAAUAACAUAUUGAGAAACGACAAUGCAAUGCCACAAGAGAUAAAAAGUAGAGGUGCGCAAGCGAGUAAAAGAAGAGGAGAAGCAAAGAAAAAGGAGAAGAGAUGAAGACGAGAUCAGAAACUGAAUGGUGUUAAGAGUCUACGGUCUAUUUAAAAUGAAAUGGGGGCGUCGGUGUUUCAGGGGAUCCGACGUCUAUGAAGCUGAAAAGAUUAACGUUUUGGUUUCCUGUCAGGGUAGUUCACGUCGGUGCCCCUCACA
rnacentral:lncRNA from 1 species